rnacentral:rRNA from 1 species
AUCUUUACAAUGCGGGAAACCGCGAUAAGGGGACACCGAGUGCCAGCAUUUAUGUUGGCUGUCCACAUGUGUAAACGGCAUGUGUUAGCAAGGGCCGGGCAAGACCGGUGCCAGCCGCCGCGGUAACACCGGCGGCCCGAGUGGUAAUCACUUUUAUUGGGUCCAAAGGGUCCGUAGCCGGUUUGAUCAGUUCUUCGGGAAAUCUGACAGCUCAACUGUUAGGCUUCCGGGGAAUACUGUCAGACU